GGUUCAGUGGUGUAGUUGGUUAUCACGUCUGUCUCACACAUGUGAUUGCUCACAGGAGGUCUCCGGUUCGAGCCCGGACUGAACCA